AUUGAACGCUGGCGGCAGGCCUAACACAUGCAAGUCGAGCGGAUGAAGGGAGCUUGCUCCUGGAUUCAGCGGCGGACGGGUGAGUUAUGCCUAGGAAUCUGCCUGGUAGUGGGGGAUAACGUCCGGAAACGGGCGCUAAUACCGCAUACGUCCUGAGGGAGAAAGUGGGGGAUCUUCGGACCUCACGCUAUCAGAUGAGCCUAGGUCGGAUUAGCUAGGUGGUGGGGUAAAGGCCUACCAAGGCGACGAUCCGUAACUGGUCUGAGAGGAUGAUCAGUCACACUGGAACUGAGACACGGUCCAGACUCCUACGGGAGGCAGCAGUGGGGAAUAUUGGACAAUGGGCGAAAGCCUGAUCCAGCCAUGCCGCGUGUGUGAAGAAGGUCUUCGGAUUGUAAAGCACUUUAAGUUGGGAGGAAGGGCAGUAAGUUAAUACCUUGCUGUUUUGACGUUACCAACAGAAUAAGCACCGGCUAACUUCGUG
rnacentral:rRNA from 1 species